rnacentral:miRNA from 1 species
GAGUCCUUGCUGUCCUGUGCCCUCCCCGCCUCCGCCUGUCCCGGGGGAGCGCAGGAUCCUGGGCUGUGUCCCCCGGUGCCCUGGGAUCUGGGGCCUGCG